rnacentral:tRNA from 1 species
GCCGGCGUGGCGGAAUGGCAGACGCGCUGGACUCAAAAUCCAGUGCCCGCAAGGGCGUACGAGUUCAAGUCUCGUCGCCGGUA